rnacentral:rRNA from 1 species
CAAUAGCGUAUAUUAAAGUUGUUGCAGUUAAAAAGCUCGUAGUUGGAUUUGUGGUGUACGCCGGCGGCCCGUCGCAAGACGGAGCUUGCUUGCGUCGCCAUCCUUGGGUGGAUCCUGUGUGGCAUUCAGUUGUCGUGCAGGGGAUGCCCAUCGUUUACUGUGAAAAAAUUAGAGUGUUCAAAGCAGGCUUAUGCCGUUGAAUAUAUUAGCAUGGAAUAAUAAGAUAGGACCUUGGUACUAUUUUGUUGGUUUGCGCACCAAGGUAAUGAUUAAUAGGGACAGUUGGGGGUAUUCGUAUUCCAUUGUCAGAGGUGAAAUUCUUGGAUUUUUGGAAGACGAACUACUGCGAAAGAAUUUACCAAGGAUGUUUUCAUUAA